rnacentral:rRNA from 1 species
CGCUGUGAAGAUGCAGUGUACCCGCGGCUAGACGGAAAGACCCCGUGAACCUUUACUACAGCUUGGCACUGAACAUUGAACCUACAUGUGUAGGAUAGGUGGGAGGCUUUGAAGACGUGACGCCAGUUGCGUUGGAGCCGUCCUUGAAAUACCACCCUUGUAUGUUUGAUGUUCUAACGUUGGCCCCUAAUCGGGGUUGCGGACAGUGCCUGGUGGGUAGUUUGACUGGGGCGGUCUCCUCCCAAAGAGUAACGGAGGAGCACGAAGGUGGGCUAAUCACGGUUGGACAUCGUGAGGUUAGUGCAAUGGCAUAAGCCCGCUUAACUGCGAGAAUGACGGUUCGAGCAGGUGCGAAAGCAGGUCAUAGUGAUCCGGUGGUUCUGAAUGGAAGGGCCAUCGCUCAACGGAUAAAAGGUACUCCGGGGAUAACAGGCUGAUACCGCCCAAGAGUUCAUAUCGACGGCGGUGUUUGGCACCUCGAUGUCGGCUCAUCACAUCCUGGGGGCUGAAGUCGGUCCCAAGGUAUGGCUGUUCGCCGAUUUAAAGUGGUACGCGAGCUGGGUUUAGAACGUCGUGAGACAGUUCGGUCCCUAUCUGCCGUGGGCGUUGGAAGAUUGAA